GUCGUACGCAGAAAAAAUUUGUUCAUGAACCAUAAAAUUCCCUAGCUAACCCUGAUGAGCUGCAUUCAUUCACUCAUUGUAAGGCAAAUAGCUUUCAUUGGCUCUUUUGCCCGUUUUUGUGGUAGGUGGUGGUUGGAUUUUCAAUUGCAAUGAUGUGCGACACACAUCAAGCUGCACAAGGGGGAAUGCCUAACACAUUUGCGGCCUCGACCAUCAUUAAACUUCAAGUAGACAUUUUAAAAGGACACUAAAGGCGACGUGGAAUGUUCAAAUACCAUUCCAUAAACCUCGCAGCAAUAAAAGAAUUAGUUUAGGAGAAAAUCGGAUCUGAAGGGUCCACAUACCUUCAGCACAAUGCAAAUCACCCGCUACUGAGAAUGGGAGUGGUGACAUUGCAUCACUGCCUUUUACUGCCAUCGGUUAGUAAAACGGUGCGCAACAAACAGUACUAUGAUUUUUUUGCGCAAAACGCAAACGUGCAGCCACGGAGGAAACCAUGCCAAGAAAGAGCAUUGGAUUCGCCGCUGCAGCUGCUUUCGGUCAUGUAGCGUUGGCCGUUAGAGCAUCCCAUGACAUGACAUAGGCCGGUAGUUUGUAGCGAUGCCUUUUCCCGUAAUAAUGCCUUCUGGCGCUUUUCCUGUUCGUAAGUGGCCGCAUUCGAUACUCCACCCUGAGCAGAGCGUUGCUUGACCACUCAAGAACGUGAAAAGCGCCGAAAGGCAUUAACAUCGGGAAAAGACAUCACUACAACAUACCGGCCAUGGACAUGGAAUUCUCUACUACUUGCAAAUUGUUGUUAGUUUCGCGAGCCCGCAAAAGCAGCGCAGCACUAUGCAAUAACGAAACUAAUGAAACGCAAAAGCACGGGUGGCACAGAGUCGAGCAAAAAAGAAACCUUUCGACUGCCCACUUGUAUAAUGCAAUACAAUGAUCUUUUGAUUAGGAGAGGUUGUGUACUAGUGACAGAAUUAUAAUGAGGAGUGCCUUUAUCAUCGGGCCAGUAGGUGAAUGUCCCGGGUGAAUCGCAAAUCGUGUCCUGCAUUUACCUCAAUUUCUCAUACACUAAAAUGCGAUAAUAUCGACGCCCGAUAUGUUCUUGAGCAUCAAUCAAUUUAGAUUGACUUUAUACUUGCCUUUAUAGUCCCUUUAAUGAAGCACAAAACUGGGCAAAAGCA
rnacentral:lncRNA from 1 species